rnacentral:rRNA from 1 species
CCUACGGGUGGCAGCAGUGGGGAAUAUUGGGCAAUGGGCGCAAGCCUGACCCAGCAACGCCGCGUGAAGGAAGAAGGCCUUCGGGUUGUAAACUUCUUUUCUCAGGGACGAAGAAAGCGACGGUACCUGAGGAAUCAGCCACGGCUAACAACGUGCCAGCCGCCGAGGUAAUACGUAGGCGGAAGGCGUGAUGCGGAUUUACUGGGUGUAAAGGGCGGGGAGGCGGGGACGCAAGUCAGAUGUGAAACCUCGGGGCUAAACCCCGAGGCUGCAUGUGAAACUGUGUGGCUGGAGGGCUGGAGAGGCAGGCGGAAGUCCGGGUGUAGCGGUGAAAUGCGUAGAUAUACGGAGGAACACCGGUGGCGAAGGCGGAUUGCUGGACAGUAACUGACGCUGAGGCGCGAAAGCGUGGGGAGCAAACAGGAUUAGAUACCCGGGUAGUC